rnacentral:rRNA from 1 species
CACCGCCCGUCACACCAUGAGAGUCGGAGAUGCCCGAAGCCGGAGCGCUAACCGCAAGGAAGUAUCCGUCGAAGGCAGAGCCGGCGAUUGGGGUG